UACGUAGGGGGGCAAGCGUUGUCCGGAUUUAUUGGGCGUAAAGAGCGUGUAGGCGGCCAAACAGGUCCGUUGUGAAAACUGGAGGCUCAACUUCCAGACGUCGACGGAAACCGUGUGGCUAGAGUCCGGAAGAGGAGAGUGGAAUUCCUGGUGUAGCGGUGAAAUGCGCAGAUAUCAGGAAGAACACCAAUGGCGAAGGCAGCUCUCUGGGACGGUACUGACGCUGAGACGCGAAAAGCGUGGGGGAGCGAACAGG
rnacentral:rRNA from 1 species